GCGGCGGACGGAUGAGUAAUGCUUAGGAAUCUGCCUAUUAGUGGGGGACAACACUUCCGAAAGGAAUGCUAAUACCGCAUACGCCCUACGGGAGAAAGCAGGGGAUCUUCGGACCUUGCGCUAAUAGAUGAGCCUAAGUCAGAUUAGCUAGUUGGUGGGGUAAAGGCCUACCAAGGCGACGAUCUGUAGCGGGUCUGAGAGGAUGAUCCGCCACACUGGGACUGAGACACGGCCCAGACUCCUACGGGAGGCAGCAGUGGGGAAUAUUGGACAAUGGGCGCAAGCCUGAUCAAGCCAUGCCGCGUAGUGGGAAGAAGGCCUUUUGGUUGUGAAGCACUUUAAGCGAGGAGGAGGCAACCGAGAUGAAUACUCUAGGAUAGUGGACGUUACUCGCAGAAUAAGCACCGACUAACAUCUGUGCCAACAGCCGAGUAUAUACAGAGGGGGUGAGCGUUAUUCGGAUUUACUGAACGAAAAGAGAGCCUCGACGGCUUGUUAAGUCGCAUGUGAAAUCAUUGAACUUAACUUAUGACUUGCAUUCGAUACUGGCAAGCUAGAGUAUGCGAGAGGA
rnacentral:rRNA from 2 species